CUACAAAUAUGUUCUAGUCAGCACAAUGACUGAUUUCCUAAACCGUGGAAGAUUUACUAAAAAUAAUGAAAUAGCACAAAUUAAUAUGUUAUACCUGUGUAAAUUCCAUGGAAAAAUCAGAUGCGAAUGCAGCAAGUUGAUGAUUUCUUUAGCUCUAAUCGAUUGACCUUUGCACAGAAAUUUGUUUGUAAAAUAAACGAAACAGGUUGAAUUCAACGAUUAUGAAGGCAACGAUGCAAUUUGAAUUUCUGCGCACGAUUUUGAUUGGUUAAAAAGCUCACUGCUGUGAUGUCAAAGGUGUAUGUUUGUCGUUUGUUCAAAUUUCGCUUUGGUUUAUUGGCGUUACAGAAUCAAAGCAAAAACGAAACUGUCGAUAAUAUGCUAGGUUGCCACACUAACAGGCAAUUCUGUUUUCAGCUGAAUUUUAUA